rnacentral:lncRNA from 1 species
ACUGGAAAAAAAAGCACAAUAAAAAUUGGAAAACAUAUUUUAAAAAAUCAGGUUUUUUUUGUUUUUUGUUUUUUUUUUUUUGAGACGGAGUCUCGCUCUGUCGCCCAGGCUGGAGUGCAGUGGCCGGAUCUCGGCUCACUGCAAGCUCCGCCUCCCGGGUUUACGCCAUUCGCCUGCCUCAGCCUCCGAGUAGCUGGGACUACAGGCGCCCACCACCACGCCCGGCUAGUUUUUUGUAUUUUUAGUAGAGACGGGGUCUCGCGCUGUGUCACCCAGGCUGGAGUGCAGUGGCGCGAUCUCGGCUCACUGCAAGCUCCGCCUCCCAGGUUCAGGCCAUUCUCCUGCCUCAGCCUCCGAGUAGCUGGGACUACAGGCGCCCGCCACCACGCCCGGCUAGUUUUUUGUAUUUUUAGUAGAGACGGGGACUUUUGCAGCCUCUUAAUCCAGGAUGGUCGAUCUCCUGACCUCGUGAUCCGCCCGCCUCAGCCUCCCAAAGGGUACUGGGAUUACAGGCGAGCCACAGCGCCCGGCCCACAGAUAGACCAUUAAACAACCCAUAAAAAUUUAAAACAGCAGGGGAAUUGUACAAAGUGUAGUUUAAAAAUCUAUAAAGGAAUAAAGUACAAAUAUAACAAAGGACAUACCUAUAAAGUCCCCAAGUAUUUUUUUUUUUUUUUUUUUGAGACUGGAGUCUGGCUCUGUCGCCCAGGCUGGAGUGCAGUGGCGGAUCUGGCUCGCUCCUGUCACGCUGUACUCCGGGUUUACGCCAUUCUCCUGCCUCAGCCUCCGGAGUAGCUGGGACCACAGGCGCCCGCCACCUCGCCCGGCUAGUUUUUUGGCAUUUUUUAGUAGAGACGGGGUUUCACCGUGUUAGCCAGGAUGGUCUCGAUCUCCUGACCUUGUGAUCCGCCCGUCUCAGCCUCCCAAAGUGCUGGGAUUACAGGCUUGAGCCACCGCGCCCGGCCCCAAGUAUUUUUAAAUAAACAACACAUUGUUACUACUUUAUGUUUAAAAAAAUUCUUGAGGAAAACUAAAAAAUAUUUUCUGAUAAAUAAAAAUGGAAAUACGAUGUUUUAAAAUUUGUGGAAUUCAGCUAAGGUAGUGCCUAUGGAAACAUUUAUGUCCUUAAAU